UGGGGAAUCUUAGACAAUGGGCGCAAGCCUGAUCUAGCCAUGCCGCGUGAGCGAUGAAGGCCUUAGGGUUGUAAAGCUCUUUCAGAUGGGAAGAUAAUGACUGUACCAUCAGAAGAAGCCCCGGCUAACUCCGUGCCAGCAGCCGCGGUAAUACGGAGGGGGCUAGCGUUGUUCGGAAUUACUGGGCGUAAAGCGCACGUAGGCGGACUGGAAAGUCAGAGGUGAAAUCCCAGGGCUCAACCUUGGAACUGCCUUUGAAACUCCCAGUCUUGAGGUCGAGAGAGGUGAGUGGAAUUCCGAGUGUAGAGGUGAAAUUCGUAGAUAUUCGGAGGAACACCAGUGGCGAAGGCGGCUCACUGGCUCGAUACUGACGCUGAGGUGCGAAAGCGUGGGGAGCAAACAGG
rnacentral:rRNA from 1 species